GACGAACGCUGGCGGCGUGCCUAAUACAUGCAAGUAGAACGCUGAAGGAGGAGCUUGCUUCUCUGGAUGAGUUGCGAACGGGUGAGUAACGCGUAGGUAACCUGCCUGGUAGCGGGGGAUAACUAUUGGAAACGAUAGCUAAUACCGCAUAAUAUUGACUAUUGCAUGAUAGUCAGUUGAAAGGUGCAACUGCACCACUACCAGAUGGACCUGCGUUGUAUUAGCUAGUUGGUGGGGUAACGGCUCACCAAGGCGACGAUACAUAGCCGACCUGAGAGGGUGAUCGGCCACACUGGGACUGAGACACGGCCCAGACUCCUACGGGAGGCAGCAGUAGGGAAUCUUCGGCAAUGGACGGAAGUCUGACCGAGCAACGCCGCGUGAGUGAAGAAGGUUUUCGGAUCGUAAAGCUCUGUUGUAAGAGAAGAAAGAGUGUGAGAGUGGAAAGCUCACACUGUGACGGUAUCUUACCAGAAAGGGACGGCUAACUACGUG
rnacentral:rRNA from 1 species